AGCAGAGCCACGGGAAUACGUAGGGUGCAAGCGUUAAUCGGAAUUACUGGGCGUAAAGCGUGCGCAGGCGGUUAUAUAAGACAGAUGUGAAAUCCCCGGGCUCAACCUGGGAACUGCAUUUGUGACUGUAUAGCUAGAGUACGGCAGAGGGGGAUGGAAUUCCGCGUGUAGCAGUGAAAUGCGUAGAUAUGCGGAGGAACACCGAUGGCGAAGGCAAUCCCCUGGGCCUGUACUGACGCUCAUGCACGAAAGCGUGGGGAGCAAACAGGAUUAGAUACCCCAGUAGUCCCUGUCUCUUAUACA
rnacentral:rRNA from 1 species